rnacentral:rRNA from 1 species
UACGUAGGGGGCAAGCGUUGUCCGGAAUCAUUGGGCGUAAAGCGCGUGUAGGCGGCUGGCUAAGUCCGCUCUGAAAGCCCGGGGCUCAACCCCGGGAGGCGGGUGGAUACUGGCCAGCUCGAGUCCGGAAGAGGAGUGUGGAAUUCCUGGUGUAGCGGUGAAAUGCGCAGAUAUCAGGAGGAACACCGGUGGCGAAAGCGGCGCGCUGGACCUCUUCUGACGCUGAGGCGCGAAAGCCAGGGGAGCAAACGGG